rnacentral:rRNA from 1 species
UGAGGAAUAUUGGUCAAUGGGCGGGAGCCUGAACCAGCCAAGCCGCGUGAGGGAAGAAGGCCCUAUGGGUCGUAAACCUCUUUUGUCAGGGAACAAAAGCGAGUAUGUAUACUAGUCUGAGUGUACCUGAAGAAAAAGCAUCGGCUAACUCCGUGCCAGCAGCCGCGGUAAUACGGAGGAUGCGAGCGUUAUCCGGAUUUAUUGGGUUUAAAGGGUGCGUAGGCGGCGAUGCAAGUCAGCGGUAAAAGCCCGGGGCUCAACCCCGGCGAGCGUUGAAAUCUGCAGUGCUAGAGAAGGCGAGAGGUACGCGGAAUGCGCAGUGUAGCGGUGAAAUGCUUAGAUAUUGCGCAGAACUCCGAUUGCGAAGGCAGCGUACUGGCGCCUGACUGACGCUGAGGCACGAAACGCGUGGGGACCGAACAGGAUUAGAUACC